CUCUCUCCUAUUUAUUCGAGCUGUUAAGGCUCUCUCCUCUCUCUCUCUCUCUCUCUCUUCUCUCUCCUACUUAUUUACGUACGUACUUAGUACGUCUCUCCUCUCUCUCUCUCUCUCUCUCUCUCUCUCUCCUAUUUAUUCGAGCUGUUAAGGCCCCCAUGUGUGUCCUCGGAAGGAGCUGUAUAUGUACAUAAAAAAUUGUUCGAUUCUCUCGUCAUCGUUUAAUAUAUGAACAUAUAUAUAUAUGAGGUUACCUCCUUUCUCUCUC
rnacentral:lncRNA from 1 species